rnacentral:misc_RNA from 1 species
AUCAGCCACAUUAUAGUGAUACCUACAAAAGCAUAUGAUAGAAGCUUCUCAAACGCGAUAAUAUUAUAGGACUUCACAAAAAGAAAUCAGGCUGAACAAAAGACAAGGUUGGAGGGGGAAAAAACAAGAAGUGAUCCUGAUUUGACACAGCACGUAUUUUUCGCACAAAUUCAAGAGAGAUCCAUAAUGCAAUACAAACAAAAUGUCUGAUAAUAUCAAUAGAACAGUGCUAAAAUGUAAAAACAUCACAGUAGACCAUAAAUAACAACUUGAUGCAUAUGGUUUAUACCGUUGCUUCAUAGGUCUACG